UACCAUGGUGGUAACGGGUAACGGGGUGUUAGGGCACGACACCGGAGAGGGAGCCUGAGAAACGGCUACCACAUCCAAGGAUGGCAGCAGGCGCGCAAAUUACCCAAUCCCGACACGGGGAGGUAGUGACAAUAAAUAACAAUACGGGGUUCUUUAGGAUCUCGUAAUUGGAAUGAGUACAAUUUAAAUCUCUUAACGAGGAACAAUUGGAGGGCAAGUCUGGUGCCAGCAGCCGCGGUAAUUCCAGCUCCAAUAGCGUAUAUUAAAGUUGUUGCAGUUAGAAAGCUCGUAGUUGAAUUUCGGGGUUCAUACGUUGGUCGGGCUUUUUGGUCUGUACUAGCGUAAUGGAUUCCUACCUUCUGAAUAACCGGCAUGUCAUUAAUUUGGUGCGCCGGGGAAGCAGGACUGUUACCUUGAAAAAAUUAGAGUGCUUAAAGCAGGCUAUCGCCUGAAUACAUUAGCAUGGAAUAAUGAAAUAGGACGGCAUGGUUCUAUUUUGUUGGUUUCUAGGAUCGCCGUAAUGAUUAAUAGGGAUAGUUGGGGGCAUUAGUAUUCAAUUGUCAGAGGUGAAAUUCUUGGAUUUAUUGAAGACUAACUACUGCGAAAGCAUUUGCCAAGGAUGUUUUCAUUAAUCAAGAACGAAAGUUAGGGGAUCGAAGACGAUCAGAUACCGUCGUAGUCUUAACCAUAAACUAUGCCGACUAGGGAUCGGAUGAUGUUAAUUUUUUAAUGACUCAUUCGGCGCCUUACGGGAAACCAAAGUGUUU
rnacentral:rRNA from 1 species